ACCUGACUGCUAUCGGAUUGAUACUAAGCCAUGCGAGUCAUUGUAGCAAUACAAGGCAUACGGCUCAGUAACGCGUAGUCAACCUAACCUAUGGACGGGAAUAACCUCGGGAAACUGAGAAUAAUGCCCGAUAGAACAUUAUACCUGGAAUGGUUUGUGUUCCAAAUGAUUUAUCGCCAUAGGAUGGGACUGCGGCCUAUCAGUUUGUUGGUGAGGUAAUGGCCCACCAAGACUAUUACAGGUACGGGCUCUGAGAGGAGUAGCCCGGAGAUGGGUACUGAGACACGGACCCAGGCCCUAUGGGGCGCAGCAGGCGAGAAAACUUUGCAAUGUGCGAAAGCACGACAAGGUUAAUCCGAGUGGUUCCUGCUAAAGGAACCUUUUGUUAGUCCUAGAAACACUAACGAAUAAGGGGUGGGCAAGUUCUGGUGUCAGCCGCCGCGGUAAAACCAGCACCUCAAGUGGUCAGGAUGAUUAUUGGGCCUAAAGCAUCCGUAGCCGGCUCUGUAAGUUUUCGGUUAAAUCUGUACGCUUAACGUACAGGCUGCCGGGAAUACUGCAAAGCUAGGGAGUGGGAGAAGUAGACGGUACUCGGUAGGAAGUGGUAAAAUGCUUUGAUCUAUCGAUGAUCACCUGUGGCGAAGGCGGUCUACUAGAACACGUCCGACGGUGAGGGAUGAAAGCUGGGGGAGCAAACCGGAUUAGAUACCCGGGUAGUCCCAGCUGUAAACUAUGCAAACUCAGUGAUGCAUUGGCUUGUGGCCAAUGCAGUGCUGCAGGGAAGCCGUUAAGUUUGCCGCCUGGGAAGUACGUACGCAAGUAUGAAACUUAAAGGAAUUGGCGGGGGAGCACCACAAGGGGUGAAGCCUGCGGUUC
rnacentral:rRNA from 1 species